rnacentral:rRNA from 1 species
AACGAACGCUGGCGGCAGGCCUAACACAUGCAAGUCGAGCGAGACCUUCGGGUCUAGCGGCGGACGGGUGAGUAACGCGUGGGAACGUGCCCUUUGGUACGGAAUAGCCCCGGGAAACUGGGAGUAAUACCGUAUAAGCUCUUCGGGGGAAAGAUUUAUCGCCUUUAGAGCGGCCCGCGUCUGAUUAGCUAGUUGGUGGGGUAAUGGCCCACCAAGGCUACGAUCAGUAGCUGGUCUGAGAGGAUGACCAGCCACAUUGGGACUGAGACACGGCCCAAACUCCUACGGGAGGCAGCAGUGGGGAAUCUUGCGCAAUGGGCGAAAGCCUGACGCAGCCAUGCCGCGUGUAUGAUGAAGGUCUUAGGAUUGUAAAAUACUUUCACCGGUGAAGAUAAUGACUGUAGCCGGAGAAGAAGCCCCGGCUAACUUCGUG